rnacentral:rRNA from 1 species
AUAUUAAAGUUGUUGCAGUUAAAAAGCUCGUAGUUGGAUUUCUGGCUGGAGCGAUCGGUCCGCCCCGCAAGGGGUGUGUACUAGCGUCGUCUCCGACCAUCCUUGUGGGAACUGUGCGGCCGUUAACUCGGUUGUAUAUGGGAACACAUCGUUUACUGUGAAAAAAUUAGAGUGUUUAAAGCAGGCUUAAGCCGUUGAAUACAUUAGCAUGGAAUAAUGAGAUAAGACUUGGGUCAUUAUUUUGUUGGUUUGCGGAUCGAGGUAAUGAUUAAUAGGGAUAGUUGGGGGUAUUCAUAUUUAAUUGUCAGAGGUGAAAUUCUUGGAUUUAUGAAAGAUGAACUUAGGCGAAAGCAUUUGCCAAGGAUGUUUUCAUUAAUCAAGAACGAAAGUUAGGGGAUCGAAGAUGAUUAGAUACCAUCGUAGUCUUAACCAUAAACUAUGCCGACUAGGGAUUGGCGGUCGUUACUUAAUGACUCCGUCAGCACCUUAUGAGAAAUCAAAGUCUUUGGGUUCCGGGGGGAGUAUGGUCGCAAGGCUGAAACUU